AUUGAACGCUGGCGGCAUGCCUUACACAUGCAAGUCGAACGGUAACGCGGGGCAACCUGGCGACGAGUGGCGAACGGGUGAGUAAUAUAUCGGAACGUGCCCAGUAGUGGGGGAUAGCCCGGCGAAAGCCGGAUUAAUACCGCAUACGACCUAAGGGUGAAAGCGGGGGAUCGCAAGACCUCGCGCUAUUGGAGCGGCCGAUAUCAGAUUAGGUAGUUGGUGGGGGUAAAAGGCCUACCAAGCCUACGAUCUGUAGCUGGUCUGAGAGGACGACCAGCCACACUGGGACUGAGACACGGCCCAGACUCCUACGGGAGGCAGCAGUGGGGAAUUUGGACAAUGGGCGCAAGCCUGAUCCAGCCAUGCCGCGUGCGGGAAGAAGGCCUUCGGGUUGUAAACCGCUUUGUCAGGAAGAAAUACUUCUGGAUUAAUACCUCGGAGGAUGACGGUACC
rnacentral:rRNA from 1 species